rnacentral:rRNA from 1 species
UCUACGGGUGGCUGCAGUGGGGAAUAUUGGACAAUGGGCGAAAGCCUGAUCCAGCCAUGCCGCGUGUGUGAAGAAGGCCUUCGGGUUGUAAAGCACUUUCAGUGGGGAAGAAAGCCUUGGGGCUAAUACCCUCGAGGAAGGACAUCACCCACAGAAGAAGCACCGGCUAACUCCGUGCCAGCAGCCGCGGUAAUACGGAGGGCGCGAGCGUUAAUCGGAAUUACUGGGCGUAAAGCGCGCGUAGGCGGUCUGAUAAGCCGGUUGUGAAAGCCCCGGGCUCAACCUGGGAACGGCAUCCGGAACUGUCAGGCUAGAGUGCAGGAGAGGAAGGUAGAAUUCCCGGUGUAGCGGUGAAAUGCGUAGAGAUCGGGAGGAAUACCAGUGGCGAAGGCGGCCUUCUGGACUGACACUGACGCUGAGGUGCGAAAGCGUGGGUAGCAAACAGGAUUAGAUACCGUGUAGUC